UACGUAGGGGGCAAGCGUUGUCCGGAUUUAUUGGGCGUAAAGAGCGUGUAGGCGGCCGUACAGGUCAGCUGUGAAAACUCGAGGCUCAACCUCGAGACGUCGGUUGAAACCGUACGGCUAGAGUCCGGAAGAGGAGAGUGGAAUUCCCGGUGUAGCGGUGAAAUGCGCAGAUAUCGGGAAGAACACCAACGGCGAAAGCACUCUGCUGGGCCGACACUGACACUGAGAGACGAAAGCUAGGGGAGCAAACAGG
rnacentral:rRNA from 1 species